rnacentral:lncRNA from 1 species
UUCCUCCCCCCCCCCUCUUUGUCUUCCUUCUUCUUUUCCUCUCUUCUUUCUCUUCCCAUAAGUCUUGCUCCAUUGAAGAAUGAAGUAUCCAACCGAUUUGUAGGAUUCCAACGCAUCGACUUGCAGGAUUCCAACAUAUCAACUCUUCUUCCCAAUGCCUACAUCCUCCCUACGCCAUCAUCUAUCAUUCAUGAAUCUAUUUUCUGCAACUAUAUUCCCAUCAUCCUUUGAUAAGAUCUACUCUUUUGAGGAUUAUUGAUUUUAUAAUUCAUUAUUACAGGCAAUUCUUCACAUGCUCGAAUCGAAUUUCUUUAUUUUUUGGAUAACAAAAAGAAUUACCAACAACCGUGGCCUGAUUCAACAUCCGAAUCCUCCCUUAUCUAGAAGUCUUCAUCGACGUGUUUAUGAGAUCUCUUGCUUCUAAAUGAAUCUUUGAGUAGAUCAUUAUUGUAGAAAGUUAAUUCUAUAUUUUUUUAUUAAUUAAAUCU